AUUUUCGAUUCGUCUUGAUAUUAUCGUAGUAGUUAUCGAUGUUUCUCAUGGAUUUAUGACCUAAUUUCGAUAAGUCUCUUUUAAUCAUGCGGAGGGUCUGUUAUCUUUUUCUUUUCAUUAUGCAUUCUCCAUAUUUCAUAAUCCAUGGAGAAUAAAGUACAAGAAACCAUAAACUUAUUCAAAUUUCGUGGUUCAAUGUGAAAAUUAGUGGAGCAAACUUUUUGACAUAUUCGUUACAAUCGUUGUGAAUAUUAACUACUGAAAUUACCAGUAGUUAGUCACUCGUACAAUAUGGUGUCUAAAGUUGAUAGUUUCGUGGUUUUGUUACUAGAUUUGUUUAAGCGUUAAGUUUGAAGCAAAAGACAAAUAAUACUGGAAGGAAAAGGGUUGACCCUUCAUAUCGGACGCUUUUAAGGGUUAUCUCUUUAUCAGUAGCGUUUUAUCUUUUCCAACGUUUAUACGAGUAAUAAACUAACAAUGCUCGUCAUUAAGAAGGAAUAAUUGCUUGAAAAUUCUUGCAACAGGCGAUCUUGCAUCAGAACAUUGAGGUUUUGUUGUUUCUGAUAUUGUUCGUCAAUAUAUUGGGACAGAAUGUUGAUGUACAAUCUAAUAUUUUUUAGAGUAUAAGAGAAUGCGUUGGAUAAUAAAAGUAAAUCGGCAAAUAUAACGUGAGUACGUAAGCAUCUGUUCACAAUUUAAUGAUCGUGCAGUCGUAAAAAAAAAGCGAAAGGAAAAGUGAAGGAGUAUCAAUUUGCGUAUUAGAUUGGUAGAUGGUUCAUUUUCAUUUUUUAAAUAAUCACUAUUUUCUCGGUAUGUGCUGCAUAAGUAAAUUAUUCGACGAAGGACAGUAAUAAUCAUAAAAUGGAUGUUGUAAUAGUUUAAAACUAUUACUCAUUUCAUAAUUCUUUUAAGAUAAUAAUAAUAAUAACAAAUUUUUUACUCGAUUUGUAUUUGAAUUUUCUGCGAUUUGCAUAUCUAUUAACAUCUUACUAAAGUUAGUAUUCUAUUAUUAAACAAUGUUUACGAAGUACGAUCCAGAAUACGACUAAAAUCAAAAUACAAGUUAAGAUUAAUACUCUGUUUUGAUCUAACAUGAACAACACAUAAGACUCAGAUCAUCGAUUUUAUCAAAAUUUCGUAGGAAUAUAGUAUUGGUAUAGAAAUAAUAAAUGCUAUUUGGAGACGAUUCAGUACUCUAUGAUUGAAGAGAAAUCAGUUUAAAUUUUACCAUACUGCUUUAGUAUCUCGGCAAUAUAUCAUUUUCUAAGUAUUAGCGUGAUUUAGAAGGAAAAACAUUAGAAAAACCUAAAAAUAAAUAUUUCAAGGAAUAUUAAUUUUAAUAAUACACUUGAUAGAUGAGUUACUGCCGUGAUACUAAAACAUUGUGGUAAAAUUCAAACAGCGAUUUUUUUUUCAACAGUUGAGUAAUGCAUCAUUUCUGAAUAGCAUUUGUUAAUUCUAUAGCAAUACUAUAAAUCUUACAAAAUUUCGACAAAAUUGAUGACCGAGUCUUGCGUGUUGUCUAUGUAAGUCUAGAUUCUAUAUGACGUUCUGUGGCAUCAUCGAGUGAAGCCACAAGACGACGGCAGCAUAGGAAAGUGGUAGAUAGCUGGUAAAACGAGAAGAAUGCUAUAGAAAAUGGUAGUGGAGGAGGAGGAAGAGAAGAAGAACGGAGGGCAGUACAUGAAGAGGGGAACCUGCUUGCUCGAGGACCAGGCAAAGGCCCUUGUCUUCUAUUAUGCCUUGGUUGAGCUGACGUCAGUGAUAGAUACCUUUCCUGGCAUUAUAUACACCCAUACUACCGGCAUCUACCUUUUACACAGUGCAGCCUUACCCGAACCUCUUCGUACCUACGCCCUUUUUACGUGCGUCAGCCUGCAGAUACAUCAUGGCGACCGCAUCGACCUGGAAACACGAGAAUUCUCUUCUGCUUCCUGUCAGACGAGAUGCUACCGAGGAUCGCCAAUAUAAUGUCCAACUAGCGAUUGUUUUCCUGUAUGAAAGACAUAAUUCGCUGUAGUUUUUCUUUACGAGUGACUCGUCUCAAUGGAAUCCUUUCAAGACCUGAGACUCUACGUGUUCUAAUAGUUAAAUAAAUUGGAUUAUCAACUUGUAUUGCUACGGUCUAAAAUUGUUUAGGCCUGAUGCAGAUUCUUGUCGAACGAAGAGACUGUCUCGAACGCCUUCAAUUUACAACUAGGUAUUCAACAUUUUUGGUUUCUUUACAGUAAAUUGCCUUUUGAUACAUUGCCAAAGUUGAUUAGUCGCUUCUAUAUAUAUAUGUAUAUAUAUUAUAGAUACGUAUAACAAAAUGAGGAUUUGAUAAUGAUAUUCAUUUAUUUUUUCGUAUGUUUUUAUAUCGUUGAAUAUUUUUUCCAUUGAAGUGUCACUGUAUGCAAUUGUGUUUUUUAUACGUGUUUCUUCAUUUUUUGUUACUUCAUGUUUGUGAAACAUCAUAACAUAAUGUACGUAGGUCUGUUAGGAAGCUAAAAUGUCCUAAAUAAAAAACGAAAGAACGAGUUUAUUCUAUGAAUUUUUACUUGCUAAAUAAGAUUUGGAUCUGCAUAAUCAUUACCGACUAUGAAAUUCAUGAGCGAAUUGCAAUAAAUGCAUUUGGAGCUAUUGUUUCAACGUUAACUCAAGACGCUAAAUAAUAGUCAGUUUUUUUAUAAUUGUUAAAUGGCUUGAAACAUUUUCAUAGAUUUUUGAGCUUUACGUUGAUAUUUGAAAAGCAAAACCAAUGUCAUGGGAUGUAUAAUGUGCAGUGAGUUAUGUAUCAUUAAUAGAUAAUAUUAAUCAGAGUUUCUACAGGAUGAUUAUGGUACUUUGUUCGAUUGGAAUAAGUACGCGAUAAAAGUAAAAGUAUUGUUUUUAAUAAAAAACCAAAACGAAGAAAAAUUCCUUUGGUGGAUCAAGAAGAUACCAAUUUAUAUUGUAUAACAAAGAAAAUGUUCAGAACGAUGACAAAGACUAUAUAAAAACAUAAGCAACAUUAUUCUGCACUUUGCUUUUCUAUUAUUUUUUAAAUUAAUAUUUUCUAUUACAUUAACAUUAAUUUAAAUUACAUAAUAAAAAAGUUAUUUUUCGAGAAUAUAUUAAUAUAGUUUUUGUUAAAAAUGUAAAAAAUCUUUUGUAGAAAAUAAGUAUAAUUUUGUUUGAAGUAUUACAAUUAUUCUUCAAAAUUUUCUACAUUUCUAAAUGAAAUUCAAUUGAAUUGCGUACUUUUCGUUACGGCAGUGAUCAUCUUCAAUGCGUUACAGUGAAAAGUGAAAAUAUGUACUACCAGUGAAUGGACUAACGCAUCGACGGUCGGCCAUUGCACAAUUUACUCUCAAGGUCUCUAUCAAUAACGGAAAUUCUCGGUUACCUGAGCACGAACAGGAAAGGAUAAUAAAAACGGAAUUUUCUGGGCCGUUUUAUAUAAUUUGUACUAUGUAAUUACAAUGGUACACGAGUACGACGUACUAUGCUUGAGAGUUGGUUUGAAUUGUGGAAGAGAAAGAGGGGAAAGUGGCAAUGAUGGUCGAGAAAGAGGAAAAGAAAGGGAAAUAAGAGAGGGGAGCUCAAGACACAGUCAUGCCGUGAGCUAAGUUCGCGAAGGUGAUGUACAAAGAGCAGGUUAAAGAAAGAAAGCAAGAAACAUGGAAGAAAAUUUCUAGUUGCUCGAUAGGUAGAUUAAGGAAGAAACGAUUAAGUCUUGGUUAGGAACGGAGAAAAGUGGGAGAAGUCCUGAGAAACUGGCGUUUACUGCAACCUUAGUUCUGUACGAUCUAAAAGACACAAUCCGAUCCAAUGUUAACAAGCCAUCCUGUCUCUCGAAUUCUUCUUUUUUGGCAGUCAGGCAGGCAAGAUAUUGCUCUAGUAUCAUCAUUUUUCCGAUUUGUAUGAUAUAUUACGAUAAAAAUUAACAAAAAAUUUUAUUGUAAAUAUUAAGUAUCUGGAUCGUAAAAAACAGAAGAGUCUUCAAUAUUUUGUACUAUCUCACUGACACUUCCAGCAAUCUAUUGUUGCUUUAAAGAACUUCUUUGACGAGACAGAAUUUGCUCAAGGUCGUAAUAUAACACGCUUUAAUGCGAAACAAUCUUUCGAGACAGACUGUAAGAGCACUUCGUUGUCCGCUUAUAAGCUGGUCUCGUGGUAUGUAUGUAUAUAUAUAUGCAUCUAUUUGCUUUUAUGAGUUCUCUGACGUUUUCCUCAACAGCUUCUUUGUUGUACAAUAUAAAUUGAUCUUAUUUUGAUUCACUAAUGAUAUAUUUUUUGUUCUGUUUUGGCUUUUUAAUCGAAGUAUAACUUACUUUCUUUACGAGACUUUUUACGUGCUUAUUUCAGUAGGGUACAAUAACCGUUCCGUAGAAACUCUGGUUAAUAUUAUCGAUUAAUGACGUAAACUCAUUGGACGUCUCGUGAUAUUCGUUCUCGUUUUCAGUUAUUAACGGAAAACUCUGAAAUCUAUAACAAUGUUCUAAAUAAUUUGACAAUUAAAAAAAAUCAUUAUUAUAGAUAUUUCAUUUUGAGAUAUUAUUUCAUAGCAAUUAUUGCGAAAUUGUUUUACGAAUAAUAAUAAUGUUAUUUCGAAAUAGUUAUUUAUCAAAUAAUAUCCGAAUAUUUGUCUU